AUGCUCAGUUAAGCAACACAUAUGCUAAAAUUGGACUAAUGUAGAGAAGAGUAGCAUGACCCUGCACAAGAAUGACACAAAUUUGUAAAUCACUACAUGAUCUA
rfam:Erinaceus europaeus unplaced genomic scaffold scaffold01229, whole genome shotgun sequence